AGACGUCUACAUUAGAUACCCUCGUAGUCCCAGCCGUAACUAUGCGCGUUAGGUGUAUCGGUGACCACGAGUCACCGAGGUGCCGAAGGGAAACCGUGAAACGUGCCGCCUGGGAAGUACGGUCGCAAGGCUGAAACUUAAAGGAAUUGGCGGGGGAGCACAACAACGGGUGGAGCCUGCGGUUUAAUUGGACUCAACGCCGGACAACUCACCGGGAACGACAGCAAUAUGUAGGCCAGGCUGAAGACCUUGCCUGAAUCGCUG
rnacentral:rRNA from 1 species